AUGGUGAUGGAAAUGAUCGAAGACAGCAACCUGAAGAUACAAAACAUGGAGGAUGAAAUCGGCAACCUGAAAACUGAUCAGAAAGACCAAGAAAGACAGAACAACCCACACAUGAAACAGUUCUCCAGUAAACUGGCACUAGAGGAAGAAAGCAUCUUAUUACAGAUACAGGUGCGGCUGUUUUUGUCUGUGGCAUAGCUGUCUGACAUGAAAGACAGACUGACUGAGCCAGAAAAGGCUUGUGUGAACCAAACCAGAGAAAGAAAUUUGAACAGGUACAGUUACAGUCCACAUGAAGGUUAAUGCCUUGCUUGGCAGGGACCCUCCUGUUGGUCAGUUUCACUAAGCACAAUCACCCAAAAUGAAUGCAUUUGCAGAAUUUAUUUUUAUUUGUAACACUUGAUUCUUUAUGCUAUUUUUUAUUUAAUAAUUAUAUAAUAAUAAAUGUUCUAAAUAUUAUUUUUUAAGAAUUCUUUAUAUUGUAAUAUUGUCCAAAUAAAUAACUUUUUACACAUUUUAUUGCAAAAAAUAUGAGAUGAUGCUGACUUAGUUAUAACUGAAUUUUUAAAGGGUAAUAAUUUCUCAGUUGAAUCUAAUCUAUUUGUUUUGUAAAACAUGAUUUAUUAUGCUAUUCCAUUAUUUAAUAAUUAUAUAAAUAUUAUUUUUUAAUAAAUAUUAUUAUUGUUAUCAAUAAUUCUUUCUAUUCUAGACCUAGUUUGUUAUACAUAUAUUUGUACAAUAUAUUGAGGCGAUGUUGACUUAAUUUUAUUCAAUCUAAUAGAUCAUUUCUCAAUGUAAUCUAAUAAUAAAAAAAAUUCUCAUAAUGAGGAUGUUAUCAACUGAGUGCUAAACUAAACAGACUAUACAGGGUGUAUUUUAUAUAGUUAGAAAAAUAUCCACUCAUAUAGAUAAAAAAUUAAAAGGAAAAGUUAAUUUCACUCACUGGUGUGUGUGUGUGUGUUUGUGUGUGUGUUUAGUUAGAGGUACAUUUGGCAGAUAAGGAAGUUCAGCUCCUUCAAGAAAUAGAGCUUGUGUAUGAGCAGGUUACACGGCUUUCCCAGCACAUCCAAAUCAAAGCUGAGAAUGGUAAGAAAGUAAGUUUACACACACUGCACAGCAACAAUGUUGAUUUAGAUCAGUCCUCAAAUGGUUUUGCUUCAGGACUCAGAAUUUCCAUUGAAUCUCAAGUAAAUACUUGAUGCUUCGACACCCUGCAGACCUCAUGGUCUACCAAAAAAACAUCAGCUGCCCACAUUUAUGAUCGAUAGCAAGCUCUCCUGCUUCUUAACAAAUCCUUCAGAUUAACUAAACCUCAAACUAAUGUGCUAUGUUACUGUAAACACAUAAGGUCAGGAAGCUAGGAGUUUUGGCAAACUCAUUUAGAGUGUGUUUUUGUUUUAGGGGAAUGAACUGCAGGCUCAGAUCAGGGAGUGCACUCGUAAAAUGAUGGCGGUGGUAGCAGAGCUGUCCAUGUGACAGGCUGAGUGUAUGACCCUACAGCAGGAAAUGACAGAUACGAAACUACAGCUGGACUUGUGUCAGAGGCAUGUGGAGCAGGGCCUGCCCCUCUCAGACAGCAUAUAGUAUGAGUGUGUUUGCAGCACAGAUGCCAGGCAGAUGCAGAAAGAAAAAAAAAAGCCAGGGUAAGCUUCCAGAAAGCAGCAAUGACUCAAUCCUUACAGUAAAUAACAUUCCUGUUGAUCAUUAAAUGUGAAAGUAUGGGUCACAAAACCUGUCAAGUACAUAUCCAUAUAUAAUUUCAUGAAUCAGAUGAUAUAAGUUUUUGUUAGGAUUAAAUUUAAUUUUUUAACAGUAUUUUCAUCACAGUUAAACAUAUGCCUCUCCCCAUUUCUCAUUACCUCUACUGUUAUGAAAAUAUCAUAAACUGUUAUGAAAAAAAACUAUAUAUUAUUGAUAGUAAUAUUUAAGUUUAGAUUUUUUGUUUUUAAUUUUUGUAUAAUUUGUCACUUUAUUACAGUAUUUAGAAUGUAAUAAGAAUCACGAUUAAAAAUAAUUAUUUAAUUUCCAGACACAUUUCAGUAAUGGGAAUUUGCAAAGCAAAUGUACAAUAAUUACAAAAAAAAAAAAAUAUACAUAUAAAUAGUCCUCAAGGAAAUAUAAAUUCUGAUUUUAGCAUCAAGGGACCAAGACAUGUUUUAAUGAGAUUUGUCCUUAUAGAGAUAAGGCAUUUUAUAAAAAAUUCUCAGUCAUGAUUGGUGUAUUUAAAUUCAUUCUACUAUUAUAAGGGCAGUGGCGUUGGAUCA
rnacentral:lncRNA from 1 species